rnacentral:tRNA from 1 species
GAGGGUAUGGCUCAGUGGUGGAGCACGUGCUUGGCAUGCACGAGGCCUGGGUUCAGUCCCAGUACCUCCU